AUAUGUGGGGAUAGUAAAUGUUUUAAAUGUAUGAGGUGAGUUAUUAGGAAGUCUGUUAAUUACAGACCUGGGCAAAGGUAUAAAUCUUGCCGAUUACAGGCUGGAUGUAAAAGCAAAACAAUCCGCAAGCUCAACACUUGGUAUUUUAGAGGCCCCGUGAUGGAAGUGCUGGAUAGCCACAAAGUCAAGAUGUGGUACAGAAGACUCAAUUAUCAAAGUGGAGCUGAGUCUGCAGGAAAUUGAAGCUGAUGACUAUUGAUUCACAGUAAAGGUGGAGAGAGAGCUGCACACAGCUGCCUAGGAGAGAAGCAGGAGGAGCAGGUUGCUGAAAAGCUGUCAUUGAUGAGAACACAGUGAGUGGGUGAGAGGUGCUCCGGCCUCAUGGGCUCGUGUAGCAGCUCCACUGAAAGACUCCCAUUUAAACACACACACCUGUUAACAAACAGCAACAAUAGGCUGCAUGGCUGCCAGUUCAGUGAGCCUCAUACCCUGACCCCCCCUCCCACCUGUCGGCCCCCUGACGGAUAUUAAAGAGCCUUUAUUUGCCCAUACUGGCACACAGCUCGCAGGAUCCACAGAGGCUGGGCUGCCCAGGGUAUCCGCAGUUCACCAUUGUCCGGUGAUGGAGAACAGAGAGGAUGGAUACUAAGGAAUGCCGAGGGAAAAUAGAGGCUAAACUUUGCCUUUCAUGUGGUCAUUGGUGCUUGUUGUAGUG